UACGUAGGGGCCUAGCGUUGUCCGGAUUUAUUGGGCGUAAAGAGCUCGUAGGCGGCUUGGUAAGUCAGGUGUGAAAUCUCCACGCUCAACGUGGAGGGGCCACCCGAAACUGCCAUGGCUUGAGUCCGGUAGGGGAGUGUGGAAUUCCCGGUGUAGCGGUGAAAUGCGCAGAUAUCGGGAGGAACACCCGUAGCGAAGGCGGCACUCUGGGCCGGUACUGACGCUGAGGAGCGAAAGCGUGGGGAGCAAA
rnacentral:rRNA from 1 species